UUAAAUUGAAGAGUUUGAUCAUGGCUCAGAUUGAACGCUGGCGGCAGGCCUAACACAUGCAAGUCGAACGGUAACAGAAAGCAGCUUGCUGCUUUGCUGACGAGUGGCGGACGGGUGAGUAAUGUCUGGGAAACUGCCUGAUGGAGGGGGAUAACUACUGGAAACGGUAGCUAAUACCGCAUAAUGUCGCAAGACCAAAGAGGGGGACCUUCGGGCCUCUUGCCAUCGGAUGUGCCCAGAUGGGAUUAGCUAGUAGGUGGGGUAACGGCUCACCUAGGCGACGAUCCCUAGCUGGUCUGAGAGGAUGACCAGCCACACUGGAACUGAGACACGGUCCAGACUCCUACGGGAGGCAGCAGUGGGGAAUAUUGCACAAUGGGCGCAAGCCUGAUGCAGCCAUGCCGCGUGUAUGAAGAAGGCCUUCGGGUUGUAAAGUACUUUCAGCGGGGAGGAAGGGAGUAAAGUUAAUACCUUUGCUCAUUGACGUUACCCGCAGAAGAAGCACCGGCUAACUCCGUGCCAGCAGCCGCGGUAAUACGGAGGGUGCAAGCGUUAAUCGGAAUUACUGGGCGUAAAGCGCACGCAGGCGGUUUGUUAAGUCAGAUGUGAAAUCCCCGGGCUCAACCUGGGAACUGCAUCUGAUACUGGCAAGCUUGAGUCUCGUAGAGGGGGUAGAAUUCCAGGUGUAGCGGUGAAAUGCGUAGAGAUCUGGAGGAAUACCGGUGGCGAAGGCGGCCCCCUGGACGAAGACUGACGCUCAGGUGCGAAAGCGUGGGGAGCAAACAGGAUUAGAUACCCUGGUAGUCCACGCCGUAAACGAUGUCGACUUGGAGGUUGUGCCCUUGAGGCGUGGCUUCCGGAGCUAACGCGUUAAGUCGACCGCCUGGGGAGUACGGCCGCAAGGUUAAAACUCAAAUGAAUUGACGGGGGCCCGCACAAGCGGUGGAGCAUGUGGUUUAAUUCGAUGCAACGCGAAGAACCUUACCUGGUCUUGACAUCCACGGAAGUUUUCAGAGAUGAGAAUGUGCCUUCGGGAACCGUGAGACAGGUGCUGCAUGGCUGUCGUCAGCUCGUGUUGUGAAAUGUUGGGUUAAGUCCCGCAACGAGCGCAACCCUUAUCCUUUGUUGCCAGCGGUCCGGCCGGGAACUCAAAGGAGACUGCCAGUGAUAAACUGGAGGAAGGUGGGGAUGACGUCAAGUCAUCAUGGCCCUUACGACCAGGGCUACACACGUGCUACAAUGGCGCAUACAAAGAGAAGCGACCUCGCGAGAGCAAGCGGACCUCAUAAAGUGCGUCGUAGUCCGGAUUGGAGUCUGCAACUCGACUCCAUGAAGUCGGAAUCGCUAGUAAUCGUGGAUCAGAAUGCCACGGUGAAUACGUUCCCGGGCCUUGUACACACCGCCCGUCACACCAUGGGAGUGGGUUGCAAAAGAAGUAGGUAGCUUAACCUUCGGGAGGGCGCUUACCACUUUGUGAUUCAUGACUGGGGUGAAGUCGUAACAAGGUAACCGUAGGGGAACCUGCGGUUGGAUCACCUCCUUACCUUAAAGAAGC
rnacentral:rRNA from 1 species